CAUCAGUCAAUUUUUGUAAAAGUGGAAGUCCAGCCUGGGAAAGAAUCCGUUUUCUCUGUUUUCUUUUGUUUAUAUCGUAACUUUUGUCUCCUUUUGCUUAUUUCAGAGUGAACCGGGAGCUGUGGGUCCUGCAGGGAGUCCUGGGAUUCCUGGGGAAACAGGAAAUAAAGGACAACCUGGUAAUCUAGGACCAAAAGGAAAAAGAGGUCAAUAUGGUUCACGUGGAAGGCAGGGACAAGAUGGUGCUUCUGCAUAUGGUCUACCUGGGAGAAAAGGAAUAAAGGUAAACCUGAAAGAAGAACCAUAAGAAAAUUGUUAUGCACCCUUCUGCAUGACUACUGAUA
rnacentral:lncRNA from 1 species